rnacentral:lncRNA from 1 species
UUAAAAUAAAUUUUAUCAAAGAUUUAAUUAAUUAUAUUUAUAGUACGGUUACCCACCAUAAUUAUUUUUAAAGCUACAUCAUUAUCAAAUUGACCUUUAAUUAAAUAAAUACAUUAUAAUUCAUUUUCUUAGGAGCUAAAACUUAAUUUUAAGCUGUUAGUAGAAAAUAACCUCCAAUGAACCAAAAUAUGUGUUCCAAGCUAAAACUUUCCAUUUUAAGCUAAACAGAAACUGGCCUAAAAGCCCGCCUCAGCCUGAGCCUAAGCCCAACUUGGGUGCAAUGUGCAAAACUCAGGGUCUGGACCCAAUUGGAAUGGAGCCAAUAUUUUCUCGCAUUGCCUGAUUUUAUCCCUUAAAUAGUAUUGUUCAAAAGAGUUGUACUAUUGGCACCCCUUCAAAAUCCUAUUAAAACCCCUAUUUCAAUUAUACUUCGAUUAUUGUCAAAAAUAUCCUUUUUUUAAAAAAAAGAAUCCUUCUUUCCAACUUAAAAAUCUUUCAAUUUACAAUCAUUUUCUCACACUUAUAAUUCUUUUGCGAUGAAAUGUAAUGGUUUCCCCUAAAAGAAAAUUGGUACAGCUGCGUAUAGAUGUUGCUGUAAAUGGUACAUAAGGUUUAACGAAAAUUAGAGUUGUAGUCACUGAUCAAGGAAAGUUUAAAUUUAUGGCGGCAUUAAUUUGCAGGAAAUUUUGUACUAGUAAUGUGGAAUUUGUAGAAUUAGAAGCGAUCUUAUGAAGAGUCAAAAUGGCUAAAGAUGCUGGAUUGUAGGUGAAUUUAGCGACUUCACAACUGACAAAAAUGAAGUUAUUAUUAAGCAUAUGCUUAGAGUACUCAACCAAGCUUGUAAUUUCCCUUCUUGAACAGCUGGAGUGGCUAGAAGAAGUUUCUGCAGACAUUGCAAAUAUGUUGUAGCUUCCUUUCUUUGUUAAUAUAAAAUACUCCUUUUACC